rnacentral:rRNA from 1 species
UACAGAGGUCCCAAGCGUUGUUCGGAUUUACUGGGCGUAAAGGGUGCGUAGGUGGCGAGGUAAGUUCGAUGUGAAAUCUCCGAGCUCAACUCGGAAACGGCAUUGAAUACUAUCCCGCUUGAGGGUCGGAGGGGAGACUGGAAUUCUCGGUGUAGCAGUGAAAUGCGUAGAUAUCGAGAGGAACACCAGUGGCGAAGGCGAGUCUCUGGACGACUCCUGACACUGAGGCACGAAAGCUGGGGGAGCAAACAGG